GAUGAACGCUGGCGGCGUGCCUAAUACAUGCAAGUCGAGCGAACAGACGAGGAGCUUGCUCCUCUGACGUUAGCGGCGGACGGGUGAGUAACACGUGGAUAACCUACCUAUAAGACUGGGAUAACUUCGGGAAACCGGAGCUAAUACCGGAUAAUAUAUUGAACCGCAUGGUUCAAUAGUGAAAGACGGUUUUGCUGUCACUUAUAGAUGGAUCCGCGCCGCAUUAGCUAGUCGGUAAGGUAACGGCUUACCAAGGCAACGAUGCGUAGCCGACCUGAGAGGGUGAUCGGCCACACUGGAACUGAGACACGGUCCAGGCUCCUACGGGAGGCAGCAGUAGGGAAUCUUCCGCAAUGGGCGAAAGCCUGACGGAGCAACGCCGCGUGAGUGAUGAAGGGCUUCGGAUCGUAAAACUCUGUUAUUAGGGAAGAACAAAUGGGUAAGUAACUAUGCACGUCUUGACGGUACCUAAUCAGAAAGCCACGGCUAACUACGUG
rnacentral:rRNA from 1 species